UGGGGGCUAUGAUUCAUUUAGUUAACAAUAGAGUCCACUGCCCUUUUCUACUCAGUUUUUCAUUUGUCUCCGAUAGGUCAUUGUCUAACUUGUGUAAAUCUUUCCAUUGCUUCUUGAAUUAUUGUUGAAUAUUUGGGAAGCGUAUUUUUUUGUUUUAUAAGGAGAAAAAAAGCCGAUUGCAAUCACUUCCAAAUAACACUUAACUCCUUGACACAAGGUCAGCAAGAGGGUUCGUGCAUGUGUGUGUGUGCGUGUGUGUUUUCUUUCUAAUCUGUGAGCUGUUCCCUGAGAGACAUAUUGAGAACUGGGGCUUGUCUGCUGACAUGUUUUACACAGCUGAUCCAUUAGGAUCCUGCUCUUCCUAGCCUCCCUGGCACCGCUUUGAUCAGCGACAUGUUGAAAAAAAAAAAAAGGGGGAAAGAAAAAAAAAAUAAAAGGCACUUCUCUGAUCAGGAAUCCCUCCCCUCCACUAAAUCAUCCCGGGCACUUUAAAGCUAUAGGAACCACCGAGGGACCGCUCAGCUCUGUGAGGCUUCACGACAGCUCUGCACUAAAACAUCCAGACACGAGACCAUAACGCCUUCUGCCCAUUGGCCUUUUCUGCGCAGCUCCAUGGUUAACCUCUUCCCUGCCCGCUGGGAGACACAGCCUCUGCUGCCAUGUCUGCAUCCCAAUGGGAUGCUCCUGAGGGGUCUGUGCCUGGCACUCCAGCAGAGAAAUGCCAGCAUCACUUCACCACCCCAAACACUUGAGAAAAGUUGUAUGGGAGAAAAUGUGACUGUAGCUAUAAGCUUGCAUUGUAUCUCAGCCUAACAGCCAUGGACAUGGAUAUUUGGGGUGAGUUGUGGACGGUGUACAGAUGGUCAGUGAUGCUCUACCUGCAUGGGAGCAUCCUCUGACCACACAUAGGGAAUACAGCAGAGGCUAUGGCCAGGCCCAUCCCAUAACCCCCACUCCACAUACUCUCACAGACAGAUGGGCCUUUACCAAAUGCUGGGUGAACCUCUGUGCUUUAAUCCCAGAAGCCAGUGUGUGGACUUCCCAGCUCCCAUGGCACUGGGAAGAACCCAGAUGCAGAAGCAGUCAGGGACUGCUGGCAGACAUAAUUUCUUUGCUUUUUUGUCAAACCCUGUAUGACAGAGCAUAUUUUGUAGCUGAUUGACACCACUUCAGACGAUUAGACUAAAAAGACACCUUUGGUGCUUGCAGAAGGCACAUACGGAGAAAUGAACAAAGCCCACAGAAAAGGUAGGAACAUGGCACUGGACCAGAUCCAGGAUGAAAGGGGAAGCCGUUUUACAGAAGUCCAUAGGUGCCCAACAGAGAGUGGGAUUAGGGGCAGCUACUAUGACAGUCCAGAUCAGCUUCUCUUUUAAAUGAUUUUGAGCCUGGUUCUCGGUCAUUUGCUGGGCAAUGGCCAGUGAUAACCCUAAAUGUCAAAUCAGAAAGAUAGACACAACUUACAAAACAGUCAUCGCUGCCUUCCAUCCCAAGCUGGAAAAUGUCAUGUGAGCACCUUGCCGCAGCAAAAGCUUACUGGGGUGGACAAUACAGUGGUUUGAACUCUAAAUAAAUAAUCCAUGGUGUUCAUUAUCAGCAGGCAUAAUGCCAGUUAGUGCAUGGCAGUACUGAUUUCUCCCCUGUGUUCAGAUCCUCAAAUCUGUUGUGUUUUGCAAUGGAUGGAGGACGUUCCAGACAUUGCAGAGAUCUGGAUGAGUUGUCCAUAGCUCAAGGAAAUUCCCUGAACCUCAUCCCAAUGACUUUCCUUCUCUUUGCCCAUCUCACCCCCACACAUUAAUUCCUUGCCUUUUUUGAACAUUCUUCACUGGGUUGAGUGAUGAAAGGGAAAUUUUGCCCUGAAUGCCCAGCAUGUCCUUACUACUUGGGUUAGAGAAUGAGGAAAGAUAAUGCCAUGGAGAAUCUGUUCCUGACAGCCUUCUUGAGACUGAUAUUUUGGCAGUGCGGAAGUUGAGGAAUAACUGAAACACAUUUUCUUUUGCUAUACCCUGGGUGCUGACAUGUAUCUCGGAUUGCUACAUUCAGCAACUCUGCAAAACAUCCAGCAGCUGAUCUUUAAAGCAGAUUUGAUAGCAUGCAUGAUUUUGUUUUUGGUAUGAGGCAUUUGCAAAAGUUUCAAGGGGAGGAAUUCAAAAAGCACCAAUAUGCAGUCUUUGUUCAGUUGUGCUUUAGCUCAGACUGGGGCUGAAGGAGAUCUCACCAGCUCUAUGUUUUCCUCAAGAUAUAAAACCCUGGGACUGGAUGCCAUAAAGCAUCCUCACAAGUUCCCAGCAGUCUGUCGAUAUGCCAGAGUGCCCAGCCUUAGCACAGUGGGGCAGCAGAAGACAAACACCUUAGUAAAAGCCAGGAUGAAGGAAAAAAAAAAAGCCAUUUUAAAACAACAACUUUUUUUUUUUUUUUUUUUUCAGGCUAUCUGCAGAUAAAUGACCUCCCUUCUUAUAAUUAACGAAUAUGUGCAAUUAGCUUAAUCAGAUCUGUGGGAAGAAAAGCAGUCAGUGAGUCUCAAAAAAGCAGGUUCUGAGAAACUGCAGCCAACUUUUACUGGGACCAGCUAGAGACACUACAUCACAAACAGCAUGAGACCUGCCAAAGCCUUAUUUCUGUGAAAAAUGAUGUUUCAAUUUAGGCUCCUGUGUAUUGUAUUCGUUAAUCUCCCUCUCACUUGCUUACUCACUUUUUCUCUCUCGCUGUUUAACGUUGUAAGUAGAGGCAUGAAGAAGUGUUUCCUUGUAUUGAUAUAGACGCUGCAUUCUAAUUUUUCAAUGAUACAAAAUUGAGUUAAUCAGUCCAGUUUCCCAUCAUCCUCACUGUUCUUUGUACCUCUUGAUCCAAAGAGCUGAUAUUUCAUGAUACAAGACAAGAGCUGGUAGCUAGAAAAUAGGUCUUUCCUACAGGAAAGGUGAAUAGGACUAAAUUGGCUCUGCUUUCCUUAUGCAACAGGAAAAGAUCUUGAAAACCUUAGUUGUUUUGGGGGUGAAGGUCCUGAGAGACUGUUAGAAAUCCUGAUGAGGAAGCUGGGCUCAGAGAUCAGGACCUCCUCUCUAAAACAAAGUGGGAGCUGCGAACAGGACUAGUUCCCUUAACGCUUUGCUAGGGUGUUCUUGCCAGUAACCCUCUCUCUCUUAUUAUGUUGCAAAUACAGAUUAGUAGAGAAAACAGGGAAGGAGGAAACACACAUUAUGUCAGAGAGACAGCUUUUUAAUAGUAAUAUCUAUUCAAAUAGUUGUGAAGUACAAUUCUUUUCAAAAGCAGGAAAAAUCACUUUUUUAGUCACGCAGAGUAAAGAGCCAGCUCUGCAACAAGCUUGCCACCCCACAAACUGGGCUUGCAACUGGGCAAACUGGGUCAUAACCAAUUAUCAGAACAAAUUACCCUUAUUCUGCUGGUUACUUGUCAAGCCUUUUCUAAAGACAUUUUCAAGCAGGUCUUGAGCCACCUCCACAGUCAUGUGGGGGUUUGGCUUUUCACUGGAUGUUGCUCCAGAGAAGGAAGAGAUGAACGCCAAGUCACCCCAGGUCAGAGUCUGCAGGCUCUGCUGCCUUCUCAGCGCAGGACAUAGGGAUCACAUCAAUACAUCUCCCAGUUGCUUUCCUCUAGCUGAAUGGUUGCUCCUCAGCAUCAGGCCUGGGACCUCCACCCAUCCACGUUCACAGGUGAUGGUGUCCAGGUUUUCCUAUUUUUCUGUCACAUGAUCGUGACAAUCCAGUGAGUUACUGGAUUUUGCGGGGUGCUUUACCUCUACCCUACCAGUAGGUUGGAGAUGUGCUGACCUCAUCUGACUGAGGGCAAAUGCUUUCAGCUGGCCAGCAGAGCCACUACAACUGCAGGUGCUCAUAAGCAGCUAGGAAAUAGCACCAGAACCAGUCAUUAUUAUUAUCCUGAUUUGGAGGGAAUUCUAUUUUCUAAACAUUUCUGCCCCCGAGGUUUUUAGGCUUAUUUAUUGUUGGCAUUUUGGAAAACACUAAGAUUUUGAACUGUUUGUGUGAUCUUUGCAUGUAUCUUUUUCUAAAAUACUCCUGUUUGCAGCCAGUUGUGGGUUUUUUGUUUUUUUUUUGUUUACAAUUUUUCCCACAAGAGAAAAGUUAGAUGCAAAGUUCCCAAAAGUCGAGGUUUCCCUGCCAUUGCCUGUGAUUUCUUGUUGACUCCUAACAGAUUUCCACCAUUUGGUUAAGAGGGAAAAAAUCAAGGUUAAAAAUAAAGAGGGGGCCCUAAAAUAUCUGCAAACCAACAAUAGGAAACGGAUGUGUUUAUUUUUUGGUCUCUUUCCAAAAACCCAAGGGAGUUUAAGUUAAUGUUAAUACUUUAUGUUCAAAAUAUUUAUUAGCUUGGGUAAUGAACACAUUCUGAUAAUGAGCCUGUUGCCUCAAAUGUGAGACAACAAAUAAGUGAAACCCUGUCUAUUUUACAGCACAUAAUGAAUGUUUGCGUGCAAAAGCAAACCCUACUGAGGUGCAGUGCAGGGGCUGCAGCCCAGUGUAGUGGUUUGGGGGUGAGGUCCUAUGGGAUACCCAGCGAUUCACCCAGUGUGGCUGAGGCUGGUGGCUCCCCGCCAGCAGCAUCAAGGCAGAGAGAGCUGGAGACCAGCCCGAGUCUCUGACAAACCCCAUUGGUCACCUUCCCGACAAGAUAAAUGACAUUUUAAAUACAGAGAUGACCUCUGUAAUCAGAAAUAAAUCAGUGGGAUAAUCAAAAUUGAUGGGUGAGUCAAAUCUAGAAAAUUUAUAUAGUGGAGCCCUAUAGAAUAGCUUGGAAAUCCCCAUAAGUCGGGUCCUGGCUGAAAUUUUGGUCCCUUUGCUGUAGUAAUUUAAACUUUUCUAUUUACUUUGGCAUUUCUCUCUUCAGUGACUUGGCCUGAUUGAAAUGCUUUGUUAUAUCCAACAAGAAUAAAAAAUAUAAGAGGCGAAGGGUAGUAUCUUGGUUUAGGACAACUGUGAACAUGAAAUUUAAUCCUGGGCUUUGCAAGAGGGACUCCAGUACAUACUGGGGAGGAGAAAGCAAUUAAUACUGCAUUAAAAAAAAGAGCAGCCCUUCCUUUUCACUUUGCUUUUUAAUGUCCUGUAAUUUGGGCCAAACCAAACACUGCUUACGCCACUACUGAUGUUACAAGUUCAUGCACCGCCGCUGAUGUUAUGGACGUCAACAGAGCGGCCUCUGGAAAGGAAAAGGCAAGUGUAAUUUGUCCAGAGCGGGGACAAAAGGAGAGUGCAGAGCAAAGCUGGCUCUCCUAUUUUAUUCCCUGCUGUUAAUUGCUUUCUUGAUACACCCUUGCUUUUGUCCUUUUGACACGUACUACCAUCUCACGCAGGCUACCAGAGCUGAAAUUGCUCUAAGACCCAUUAUCCCCUAAACAAUCUUAAAUCUGCUGGCGCUGCUCUGACACUCUUCUAAAACCUAUUUACUGGCCUCAGUGCAGUUACUCCUGCUUCAUAUCAGUGCGAGGAGAGUAGAGCCAGGCCAACUCUCUGAUCUACUCGUGUCUGACAUGUGGCUUACACUGCUUUUGUGUCAAUCAAGAAUUUGGCCUUGAGAUCCCUACGCUCUUGGUUUGACUCAGGGUUUAAAAAAAAACAAACAUGUUUCAAAUCCAUGCCUUUCUGCUCUUCCUUUCUUUCAUCCUUUCCAGACUCUACUAGCCUAUUCUUCACAUCUGCAAACUCAACCAAAAGUCCUGGACCACGCACGGCCAUUUAUUGCUUUCUAUUGUACUCACUGUUGAGUUUACACUUAUCUGUCUUAUUAAAACAUUUUAGAGGGCUACUUUUUGUAGGGCUGGUAAAGGCUUUUACAUCAAAACUGCUUUCAAGUAGAAUUGAUUUUUAGCAAAUGAGAAUAGGUGUUUUUCAUAAAGGACAGUUUCUGUUUUCUACUGGUGAAAUACAAAUGCCUAAAAACUGUAUAUUGAGGGAGAUUCCAGACUCCACAGUUGUCACUUUGGUAACUGAUUUUCUUCCAGGGGUCUGCAGUGUCAUUGCGUGUUAUCUUCAAUGAUAUAACUCAUAAAGCUUCUUUCAACAGCUACAUAUGCAUCCUCAUGAGCCCAGGAUCUGGGCAGUGGGCAGGGAGUUGAACUUGGCAUGACUUGGCAGCUUCUCAGGUCCUCUGAUGGAGUUUUCAUUUCUGUCUUCCUUGUUUGGGACAAUUUGUUUAAGCAUGUAAUAAUAAACUUGGGAUAGGGCAGCUAUUUUCUGACCAACCUACUUGCAAAUUUUUAAAUCCCUUAAAUCACAUGAAGGCUACAGUGUGUAACUCGGGCAGGUAACUAACAAACAGUACCACCAGUAUUAAACGACUGAUAGAGAAGAUAGAGAAGCAAAGAAGUGAAGGACUGGGAGAAGGCUAUCAAAAGAAUCACAUAAUUAUAUUUUCAGUAUGUCCAUUGAAGACUAUCAAAGAUUAAAUCUGAGGAGUGAGGUAAGUGCUAGAUAUAAUACAUCAAAUGAAAGGAUCAUUCAUGAAAGGAUCAUUGACAAGUGUCAAAGAUCGAAGAUUAAAGGCUUACAGAGACUCUGGGAAACAGCUUAGGAAGAGUCUAAGAGAGAAAAACAGGCACUUCAAGAAAAAAACAAUAACUUUGCUUCCAUUCCAUGUGCAGGCAUAUACUUCAGUUCCUCGGUCUUCUAACAUGAAAGACUCCAUGCAACAAAGUGAUACUAGUCAGGAAGGACACAGACCAAAUGAGCAUGUUGCAUCCAGGUCUAAGCCAUCCAACCAUCCUUCUCUGAACAAGGCAAAGGACCCUUUGGGAAGGACACAUUAGGCACAGCCUCAGUAGCAGAUCUAGAUCAGGGGUCAUGGAACAAGGAAAGACCAUGGCACAUCUGCUGCUGAUGAAGGAGACAGGCUUUUAGGAUUGUAAUGUUCUAGCUUUCAGUCAUUCACUGUGGAGGUGUGCACUGUUAGCAGUGGGAUUUUCUCACUCUGAGACCAGACAUGGAUUCAGCUGCUGAAAAUGAAAAGAUUGGGAAUCAUUUCAGUCUGUUUUCUCUAGAAGCAACUGCUGCCUCCAAGCAAUUAAAUGAAAUGACUUCCUACUUAGGAUUUACCCAUUUGUGGUCUAAUCUUUUAAAAUAAUUGAGUAUGUACAACAGUUUACCAGUUUCCUACCAACCUUUUUCUUUCUUAUUACCCUUCACCAUUGAGUGAUUCACAUUCAGAAAUCUUGUGACAACUUUCUGCACUGAAAGAAUAUGAAUGCAUUUUCAGUUGUGUUGUUUUUUUUUUUCUUUUCUAUUUAUUUUUUUUCUCCCAGAGACCUACCAUUGUUUCAAGGAAAGGAUAUAGUUUGUAGCCUCAGGACUGCAAAUGACCUCCUUCCUCAGUGCAUUACCCAAACCGUAAAUGCAGCUUAUUUAGAAAUGGAUUGUACAGCAAUGCACACAUACAGAGUAGUUCAAAUUCUGGUUGUGCUCAGACAGCAGUUACUGCCACAGUUUUCUGGCUUUGCAUUAACUCACUGAGCAGAAGCCUUGGCUUGGUCAUAGCAUUUUUUCUCGUCUGAAAGAUGACCUGGUUAAUGGAGGACAAACUCUGGAGCUCCUCUUGUUCUUCCCUUUUCCCAUUCACACAUAUACACAUGUAUGCAUGCAUACAUGCAUGUAUAUAUAGAGAGAACACACAGGCAUAUGUAGAACACAUACAUCACAUAUAUGUACAUUUGCAUGCACAUAUCUUAUAUAUAUAUAUAUAGGCACAUAAAUGAAUUCUUGGUCUCUCUUCCAGUGUUAGUGCAUGUAAAGACCUGAAGGGGCAGUCUGCUUUUCUGAUGUAGUCAUGCCUGCUUUUAAUUCCAACAGUUCAGAAGAUAUCUCUAGAUUAUAUGUGGGGAAAGUAUCUACACCAGCUUCUUCUGGACAGACAAACUGGACAGACUCUUGCAUCUACAGCGCAAUGUUUUCCUUGGAAUAUAUAUUGUGCCCCAGGAAUAGGUGGUAUUCCUUCAUUCUCUUGAAGAAACAUACUUUUCCUUGGAGUCAAGGUCAAGAAUUACCUAUAAAAAAUAAUUUAAAAAAAAAUGGACAACAACAUGGUCUACAUUUUAAGGAAAUUAGGCACGUGCAAAAGAAAACAGUCACAAACCUGGUUCUUGCCUGGUUGACAACUGAUUUCUGCUUCUUUUAGGAGUUACGCACAUGCAGUAAAACUGUCAGUUCAAUAUUGUAAAACAACCCCAGCCCAGAGUGGCUUUCCAAAUUACCGUAAGUCACUGGGGUCAAGCUGCAAGUACGUUGAGAUGGAAGGAUAUUGAACCAGCCCUGGUGCCAGGGCUGCACCUGUGUGCAUUUGUCCCUGUGUGAGAAAUGCCAGGAGACCCAAAUUGCAUCGUGACGUACAAGCUAUUUCCACUCCCACAGUGAAGUACAGUUACAAGGCUAUUAGAGCCAGCCCAUGACCUCAGUGUCAUCACUGAAAACUACUGAAGUCAGAGCUUGCUCAUCACCUCAUAUUGCAAUUUACGUAGCUGCAAUUAGGCGAAGGCAGUUAUAAAAUAACUGACUUACCAAAUGACUAUGCAAGUUGUGAGGCAACUGGGGUGUGCUAUCUGCUGGGGCUGGUCAAAGUGGAGUUUGUCUCACAUUUGCCAGAAUAAUUGGAGGAUGCAGACAAAUGAUUUUAAAGACAGCAAAUUAAAAGAGAUCUAGCGGCCCAUUUUUCUAGGGAUGGAAAGAAGGCUUCCCAACAUUUGCACACUACUGCUCUGGGAGUUUUUCUGGGAUACAGAUCAUUAUCCAAAAAGGAAGAAAGCAAAUGUCCAGAGAACUGGAGCAUCUCUGCAUGAGAAGACAAGGAAAACUUGGAACUGUAAAAUUUUGUUUAUUAAUGGCAGUUCUGAGAAUUUUAAAAAAUGAAGUGGGAAAAAAAGCAACCCUUCAUGAAACAUUGAUUAUGCGCCAGUUCACAUAAAUCUCCUUGGCUACCAUGUGUUAAUAUUAUUCUUUUAAAAGACUAAUAGAUCCUGUUCUUGACAAGCACAAAGCCAGGAGGUGAGACUUUAUGCAGUAUUUUCAUUUUUUAGCCCACAAGAGGCAAUGAUUUUAUAAGAAUAUUAUUUCUCUGACCAAACCACAUUCUCUGUGUGAACCUCUGCAGAGAGCUUCCAUUCUCAGGAAUUCUCUGCUCCAUCAGACAGUGUGCAGAAGCAGCAUUCCUCCUUGUCCUUGUUCUCAGCUCUAUCAAGACAAAAUUAAUUUUCCUAAACCAAAUUUCUGUAGCCAACCUUCAAGUUUGCAUUCAGUUUUUACCUGAAAAUUCCUACACGCAAACCAGAUUGAAUCCGAGUACAUCACAAAGCUGACUGCUCAAACAGCUGAAGCACACAGAUAAAACGGUGAGCAGUAAAAAUGGAAUGGCAAACCUGAAGAAAAGACUGAUGAAGUGGAAACGUGGUUGAGCACAUCUGAUUUUGCUUCACUGCAUGGGAAACAUGGCCGAAUGGCCUUUUGAACAAGCAAGAGUCAACUCAUUCACAAAGAGCUUUGAAACUCUUAAUGUGGAGGCGUUUUACGGAACAUGUGGGAGAUGUACUGGGGAGAUUUGGUUCAACGCUUUCAACUCAGUUAUUCUAUAAAGCUCUAGGGAUGUCCAACGCUGUAAAAGUAGCCCACGGAGAUCUCCAUGUUCUCAACUUGUCUUCUGGAUGACUUCAAGGCAGGGGCAGUCAGUCCCAGAAGGCAGACACUAUCCUUAGCUGUGUGCUUAUCAGUCUGUACACAUUUUUUCUAGAACUUAGUGUUACCAGAUCCUGACUCAUAAGAAUAGCUUUGCUUUUUUGUGAAGCUACCAAAGUGUCCUGGUGUUAGCAUGUGUGUGAGUGUCCUGAUAAGGACAUGACAGUGUGUGGGAGGCCAGAGAUGGGUAAUGCCACUGGUAUGUAGAGUGGGGAAUUAGUUGUGUGUAUGGAACGACCUUUUCUUCCAUAGACUCUCCAAGACAAGAGGGCCAAGGAGAAAGAGCAGUGGUGACAGCUCAAGGUCCAGUCCACUCUACCAAAACUUUCCACCCUAAUGAAUGAAGCUAUUCACUAGAUUCUGCUUUCUACUUUGCUUCAGUACUGUUUUAAUCUUAAAAUAAAGAGCUAUCUCUCUGGAGAAUAACUUCGGCUGUAAUGCAGCCCUAGAGUGGAUAGUGGAUUUACACCAAGGCUGAGGCUGAUCUCCAUCUCUACUUGCCAGUAAGUUUUCAGAAGUUAGACCUUGAGUAGCAUGACUCUGAGAAGGGUUUAUGCUAUUUGGGACUUAGCCUGUUUCCUUUAAAAGCAUCAUCUUGCAGAAAGGAUUAAAAAAGAAGGCAAAAAACAUUGAAGUUGUUUCCAUACAGCAGAGUCUAAAACAGAACCACAUUUUAUGGAAUUUUUCACACACAUCCUCUCCCUCCCUUAAAUUUCAAUGUUCCCUUUUCUUCUGUUUUUGACGUAUUGCCACUGAGUGAAAUGAAAUGAGAAAUAGCCAGGGGCUUGCUCUGACAUUUUCUUCCCCACCCCAUUCAUCCAUCUACCCAGACUCUUCUCAGUUUUAAUUUUAUUAUUAUUUUUUUUAAUAGUAUGGAACAGCAGAAGGCAACCUUAGGAUGUGUGUAUCCAUUUGCUGUAACCCACUCACUUUGGUGAUCCUUGUCACCUUUCUUAUCAUACCAUCAGCAUUUUUUGGACCAUCUAAAGCUGAAAUAAAAAUCCUUUGCCUGCAGAUUCACUCCAGAUUGACAGGCAGGGAAAAAUCCGUCCCCAGAGUCUGAGAUCAAGAGCUUUAUGGUCUAGUCCUGCCUAAUUUUAAAGGGGUUUUAUAUAGCAGAAUUGGAAAGAACCAAGAGACACUCAGAGCACAUGUUCUGAAAUACCAAGAAUAACAAAGCAAAGGCUUAAUGAGUUCAAAUGUGUAUGUCUGCUGUGAGUAAUGAUGCUUAAUCCUGCUACAAAAUAAUUCCUUUAUAUGUUCUUCUGUUUUUUUAAAAUGCAUCACUGCUGCACAGGGGUCAUAAAAAUUACGAAUAUGUUUUCCCAUGGCAUGAGGCCAUAGCAUACUGUAAGGCACUGUGCUGGGCCAUUAUACACAGCCAGUAAUCAGAAACAAAUGUAUUAAGUGAGAUGAUGUGAUGUUACAUGAGAAAAGUGAAAAUAGAGCAAGAAAGUGUGAUAGACAGUGACUUGGACGGCAGUAUCAACUCUGAACAGCCCCUUUCUCUUCAGAAAUCAGAGGCUGUGCCAGAUGAAGUUAUUUUUCUAGAUCUAGAUCCUGGUCUAGAAAAUAAAUCCAAGCUUCUUGGAAGAAGAAAGAAAUUAAAUUUGUCUGAGAGCUGAAGUAGGCAAAACAAAACAACAGCACUUCCUAUUCAGAAAGAGAAAUACUGUGUGUUGGUGAGGGCGUUCCUCAUUAGGGGUGGUUCAGGCUGGAUAUUAAGAGAAAAUUUCUCUCAGAAAGAGCAGUGAGGCAGCCCAGGGAGGUGGUGGAGUCACCAUCCCUGGAGGUGUUCAAGAAUCGUUUGGAUGUAGCACUGUAGGACAUGGUCUAGAGUGGUCAAAGGCAUAGGUUGAUGGUCAGCCAAAAUUAUCUUCUUGGUCUUUCCAACUUUAAUGAUUCUAUGAUUCAAUAUGCAUUAGUCCAGGCUUAGCCAUUGUCUCAGAAAUGCAAAGGAGCCUGUCCCCCCACUCCUUCACCUCACAAACUUGUGACAAAGUCCAAGUAUCAGCUGUGACAAGGUGAGAGCUGUCACUGAAUAAAGGGCUCUUCUUUCUUUGGAGUUUAUAUUUCUGAGACUUUGCUCCAGUACUGCUAGUAUCAGCUUAAAAAUUAAACUUGACUCCAAUUAGGAGAAAUACAACAACUCAUUUGUCUGUUUGCCAGUGUUUAUUCUCUAAAUAAGAAAAAAAAAAAAAAAAAAAGCCGUUUGUGACAGCUGCUUUCAUUUCCAGGAGUACAGCAAGUAUCUUCAACAUCAAAGCUGGAUUUUAAUUUAUUGGCUUUACAGCACACAGAGCAAAAGGUCAAGUAAAAAGAACUUUCUUUAGAAAAAUUACAAUUGCUAUUAGAGUGCAUAUGGGCUAUUUGAAUAUUCCAACACUUUAUCUACCAGUCCCUUAGAAAGGCUUUUUGAAACCCCUAAAGCUCAGCUACUUGUACCCCAUAAGAGAUUUGCAGACUGGCCCAUUACUGUCAGGUAGAGGUGAGAGCAGUUGUCACCCCAGCAGCAAAGAAAGUUGCUUCCUGUUUCCCAGGUGUUAUAGUGAUGGGUCCUGAGGUCAAAGCAGUGCCCAGAGUUCCCUAAUUUCAUCCUCCAGUGUUUCUCUGUGGCAGGCCCAGCACACAAGGUCUUCAUUUGUUGAGAGUGAAAGCUGUAUCAGCCAUAGAUAAGACCAUCAAAACCUAACCAUGAAGAUAGCAGUGCAUAUAACAUCUCGAAAACAGAUUGCUUGGAUAAUAUUGCUUUCCUUUUGUUCCCACCAGAACAGGAAGAAUCAAUCAGCUUGAUUUGACCAGAGUACCAAAGCACCUGGACAAAUAAACUCUAUCUGAUUACUAAUAAUUAUCUUAAGAACUGCCUCAGCAGUUAUCUUAGAAAUUAUUCAGCUCCACUUAGAUCUGUAAAAGCAACAGUCGCUGCUUCCCUGCCUUCCACAGAAAACAACUGUCUGUUCUGCUGUGGAGCACUUGUUCCAUUUUUUUUUUCUGAAAUGUACAAAUAAUUGGUGCAAAUAGGAGAACUGUUUCUUUUCUGACUCUGUUUGUCCUUCACGAAACUACACAACUACUUAGAAUCGUAAGUAAAUACAGCUAGGAAUUUACCAUGAAGAAAAUCCAAAUGAAACUCUUUCCAGAUUCCAGCUAUCUUCCCCUGCGCUUGAACAAAUCCCCUCAGUGGAUGAACCCCUGUGCAUCUGAGAACUGCUGAGACCCUCAAACACAGGAGGUAAACCAUAUGCAUUGCAUGCUUGCUUUAAUGAAAUGAUUGAUUUAUUGGUCACAAAUUCCUCAAAAGAAUUUGUUUUUAUUCCCUGGGUUCUUAUCAGGGAGCUCCCCGCAUCAGUCAAAAUCAUGACUGUCAUUCAGUGCAGGACAGCACAAGUCAAAAGGCUUUCCCAGUGCUCCCCCAUUAGCAGGGAACCUUUCCCUACUGCUGGAGCACGUCCCCUGUUGGGGCACAGUUGUCCUCUCGUCCCAUAGCUGUUUCCUUCCUUGAAUAGGACGAGAGCCUUCCUAAUGGAGCUCGAGUGCAUUCAUGGCACAAUAGGUCAUUUCUGGCUUACUUGAUCUCUUUUCAGCUCACAGGACAAAAAGGGACAUGGUUACACCAUUUGCUUACAUUGGUAGGUAAAGAAAGUCUUAAACGUCGCAUGAGUCACUUGCACUCAAUUAAUUUCUGCUUGUGUUAUUUAUUCAUGUUUAAGAUAUGACUUUUAUUCUAUAUGUGACCUUCAGCAAUGGAGCUGAUAACAAGAACAUUGCUUUGGAAAAAUGAAAGGUUAAACAUUAACCAGAAAAAUAGUUCUAAGACAAACAUUUUGAAUGUUUUCUUUCGUCGUAUUUGGAAGUAACUUGUCACUUCCCCUCUUACUGCCUCCCUGACGUAACUGUUGUGCUGCUGCUCCUGACACAGAGAUUGGCAGAUGCAGUAGUCUCCAGGCUUUAUCAUUGUGAGAUGGACUCUUCCGAGACUACUGCAAAUCAGCCAGGUCUUUGAGCUGGCUGCAGGCGCUGGCUUAAUUAGCUUUGUGUUAAAAAUUUCUGCUCUUUCUCACUUCUCAAGAGGCACAGCUGAGAGAACAGCCUCUAGCACCAUGCUCUGAGGUUACAAAAGCAAAUCUACUCCAUGUCCGAAUGUGCCUGUGAAACCAACUGCAGUAAACCUUCAUGAGAUGAGACAGUGGAGUCACACAGACCCAGACUGAUGAAUCCUGCUGUAAUUCUGCCUUGUCCUGCACUCAUGAAAUGGGUUGGAUGUCCUUGAGGGCCAAGCCACGUCCUUGGCAAGAACCAAGUGCCUGCAGUUCUCUCCAAGAAGGGACAGUGCCCCUCCUGCUGCAAGCAACUCAACAACCCUUCAAGCAUUAAGGAGAAGCCCCGCUUAGCAGAGAUGCCAGCUGCUCUCCAUGCUGAGCCUCUUGUUCCUGAGCAGGUAGAUGGUGCAAGGCCCAUCACUCUGUGUGCACUCAGCUCAGGGCACAGCUGGAAAAUCCCACCUCCUGGCCAUUUCCCUGUCCGGGCGAAGACGCCAUAGAAGUUCUGGAUAUAUUCCAUCGCUGAUUGGGAAGCACACCGUUGGGUAAAGGGCAGAGCAACCUGCUGUAGCUGUUGGUGUCUCUGUUCAUCGCAGGGUGGUUGGACUAAAUGACCUUUAAGGUCAUCUUCCAGCUCAAACAGUUUCAUGAUUCUGUGAUUCUGAGCCCUGCCUAGGAGCAGCUCACACACAGCACUCCAUGCAGCUGGAGAAGUGCCCAGAGAUGGGACUUAGGAACAGAUGGGUGUGUGAUUAAGUCCAGCCCUUACUAUUGUCCCAAGUACCCCUUUGGCACCUCAUGCUGCUUUACAACUUCCUCAAGCCUCUCAGUGCCUUGUCCCGACCACCUAAUACUCCUUCCAUACAUUCCAAAAUGCAGCUGAAAUCUGGACAGCGAGAAACCUGAGCAGUGCUGUGGAGCCCCCAGUUAUUUGCAACACCUCGCAAUACAACCUAAGUGGGCGCUCCAGAAAGCGCUGAUUUAACUUUCCUGUCUCCCAAUCAGCUGGAAAUCUAUCAAUGUAAAAUAUCUUCUGGCUGAGUAAGAGCUGUUUCCAGCUUUCUGAGUAGCCUAGGAGAACUGAGCCGUGGCCUGGCUUCUCAUCCCAGCUCUCCUCACUCAAACUGCACAUCCAGCUCAAGGAGGAGGCUUUAGAUGUGUGCUAGCCCUUAAUCGUGCCAGCAGUGUCUUUGCAGUCACGGAGGACUUUAUGCUAAAUGCUUCUCUCCCACAGUUCUAAAAUAGUAACAUAGCAAGCAACAAAUGACUAUGGGGCUUCUCAAGCAGCAGAGUGCACACUGGUCCUGUCUCAAUAGAAAAAAAAAAAAAGAAGAAGAAUUUUGCCAAAGGUUUGAAUGGGAGAAAGAGCUUGUGGCUGACCACACAGCAAAGGGCUAUAUUUUUAUUUAUUUUUUUAAUGUCAAGUAAAUGCAAUUUAUAAGCCGUUGCCCACAGAGUUUUCUAUUCAAAAGUAGGUGUAGUAGGUCGAAAAUCAAGAGACCAAAAGGCACAGGUGACACAAUCUGAGCACAGGACCAUUGUGUUGGGCCCAGCCCCGCUGCCCCAGCCACAACACUGUGAGGAAGUGCCACACAAACAGAGGAAGCAGAAUUCGGGCCGAGAAGGAUUUAGUAACCGCAUUACUACGCUCUCAGCACUGAUGCCUGCAAAAGAUAAAACCUGGGAAAAGACCUCGGGUUCCUACUCCUUAUUGUUGCUACCGGGGAUUUAGCUUGUAUGUCUGAACUGUGUACAUAUUUCACUGGUCUAGGUGGGGCACCGCCAGCAUAUUUGUACGGGCUGGGACAGUGACAGGACUGCUGAUGUUUACAGUAACAGGUUAGAGGGACUUUGCCAAAGCAUUCUUAGUUUUUAAAAUGAUCGGGGCGACCUAGCCCCCUUCCCCCCCUCCAUUGUUACUUCAUCUGCGGGAUUUACGGAAGAAGGAAAUGGUAAAUUACAAGAAAAAAAAAUAGUAUUUAUCUUGCCAGGACAUGUUGCUUUGAACUCGGAUGAUAUUAACAUAUCAAUCAGAUUCAGUGAUACGUUAAACAAGGUUGUCCCUGGUUUAUGGUUCACUGAGUCUGGGAGCUGAACUAUGGCUUUGUAUUCCUCUGUCUGAAUCCUUCCCCAGAGCACACCACAUUGGUAGCCAGCACCAGGAGGGAUUUGUUUUGUCUUGUUGACCCAAAAUGAAGCCCAUUUCCAUUGAACUUCCAGUGAAUAUUUGCCCAGGAAAUGGCACAGACAACAAAAUGAAGAAAUACAUCUAAAGAAUCUUUAACUUCAUUUGUUUCUGUUUGCAAAAUGAUACUCCUCCGUUUUAUAAGCCAACAGUGAGAACAGAUACUGCUAAAUAAAUUGCAUAGUAACCAAAUAAGUAAUUUAAUAAACAAUAACAAUGCUCACAAAUAAAGUUAAUCCUCAGAGCUUUAAACAAAUAUAUAAAUUGAACUCACAAGUGUGAUCCUUUUCUGCGAGCUACAGUAAAAUCUGAAGGGGGUCAUAACCGUACCAUUUACUCUAGACAAGUUGCACGUGCAUUGCUGUUUGGAAAAUGGAAUCAGUUGUUGGAAAAGUACUUGUACUUACUGCACACAGAAACACUCUACAGUUCAUCAGCAGACAGACCCCAUCAGGCUCACUAUCCACUUUUUAUGCAAUUAGGUUUUACACUGACAAUGUAUUACAAAAUUAUUAGAAAGGGAGCUGGAGUUAAAAAUUAAGAUGACGCAAGUUCAAAGCUUGGGAUCACAGUUCAGCAAAAGCUCUCUGGAAGUGAAAAAAGAGGAAAACCCCAAACAAUCUGAUUUAAGAAAACAAGUUACUGCAGAAAAUGAAGUCCAGUUUCCUGCAGCUUUCUACCUUGUAGUUGAACUAUCCUAAACCUAAUAAGAUUUAAACUCUGAUUGAAAUUCUUUCUGUGGUUGAGGCCACUAUCAGCUCUUAUUCCCUCAGAUGUAGAUUUUCUGAUGGCAGUAGUCAUGUUUUGUUCCUAACAAUUUUUUUCACUCAGCUGAAAAAUAAAGCAGGCCUCUCCGCUCUUUUCAGAUACUACUUUUCACCAAGCAAGGAAUAAGGUAAUGUGUUGGGAUUUUUUCACUAAAUAGAUCGACAUUAGUCUCAAAAUUCAAAAGUUUUGGAGGAGUGAAAGCACCAUAAUAAUACACACUUCUGAAGGAAAGCACAUUAGAAGUCCAAGGAUCUUGUGUGCAUUUGCUCCUGUCUCUAAGUUUUCCCUCAUCUGCAGAUUUGUAUAUGAGAUGCUACGUGUAUCAUCAAGGUGCAUGUUCUUUUUAUAAGAACAACUGUGGGGAAUAGAAACCCAGCACAGUCAUGCCAAAAGAGGAGCUCACAGUAGACAAGCUACUUUAAGCAGAUAUAGCUGAAGCAGAAAAUAAGUGCUACAAUAAACAGAUUUCAAUUGUAGCAUCUUCAGGGAGUCUCUCAUGUUUUAUGUGAAUUUUCUUUCUUUAAGAAAAGAGCAAGAGAAGUGACAAUGUCUAAAAGGAUACAGGAGGACGCAUCUUCUGCUUCAGUUUUCCCUUAUGUCUGUAUUCUAGAAGA